AACGAACGCUGGCGGCAGGCCUAACACAUGCAAGUCGAGCGAGAUCUUCGGGUCUAGCGGCGGACGGGUGAGUAACGCGUGGGAAUAUGCCUCUUGGUACGGAAUAGCCUCGGGAAACUGGGAGUAAUACCGUAUGUGCCCUUUGGGGGAAAGAUUUAUCGCCAAGAGAUAAGCCCGCGUUGGAUUAGGUAGUUGGUGGGGUAAUGGCCUACCAAGCCGACGAUCCAUAGCUGGUUUGAGAGGAUGAUCAGCCACACUGGGACUGAGACACGGCCCAGACUCCUACGGGAAGCAGCAGUGGGGAAUCUUAGACAAUGGGGGCAACCCUGAUCUAGCCAUGCCGCGUGAGUGAUGAAGGCCUUAGGGUUGUAAAGCUCUUUCAGCUGGGAAGAUAAUGACGGUACCAGCAGAAGAAGCCCCGGCCAACUCCGUG
rnacentral:rRNA from 1 species